GAACGACUGCAACUUGGAGGGGAUAAAUUUCAAUUGAUGUCAUAAAUUGAUAUCCAUCCAUUUUUCAAACCCCAUGCCCUGCUUAGGAAAUAGCAUAUUAUUAGGCGAUUAAAUAAUUAAUUUGUUGUUAUUACUUAAACGCACGUGUUAAUGUGAUGUAAUUUCAUUCUUGUAGUAAGACAAGAAAUUGCUUUAUUUUUACUUAUAAAAUAUUUAAGGAGGUGUCUUUAGUCAUAUUUUACUGCCAUCUACCGGUCUUUUGGAACAAUAACAAAACAGCAGAAUAUAUAAAACAUUCAUAAGCAAUUAAGGAAAAAAAUGUCCGUGAAGCUGCAAAAAUACAUUUUUUUGAGAAAUGGGUAUAUAAAAAACAAAGUAAGUUAAUUCAUUAUUAUCUGUGAUCAUUUUUGCCUUCUUUGAGUCGUUAUCUACAAAUAUUUCGCUAGUGUGAAACAUAUCACUGUGACUGUCGCGCACAAAAUAAUUAAAAAGACGUUUAACUUCAAGUACAAUUGCGCUCCUGCACCAAAUCCCGGAGAUUAUUAAUAUUCCAUGCAGCACUUCAUUAAUUAAUUCAUCAGAGGCAGCUUGAACGCUCUGCGUGGAAAGUCCAUGGGAGAAGCUGCUUUAUGUGAAAAGUCCGCGUGAAAAGCUGGGCUAUGCGGCAGAUUCAUGUGAGAUGCCAGCCACCGGGGAAGCUGAUCUGUGUGGAGAAGCUGCUCUAUAUGAAAGUGGCUCAGCUCACGGGCGCAAUGCGCUGUCUGUCCUUCAGCUGCCUGCUCUUCUCCACUUUGCGCCGACAUGCUGACAGCUCUAUAACUGAAAAUCAGAAAGGGAUGAUUUGCAAGAAACAUCGGGAAAUGGUCAAAUGCACUACCUUACCGGAAGUGAAUUUUUCCCAUCUGAAGAUUUGUACGUCAGCGCAUGUGUUCUCAAAUCUGUCGGUCAUUUCCUUUUACCUGGUCAGAAGCCCUUGACCCUAGACAGAUGGCUUCAAGACCCCUCCCAACACCAGUUGUUGCCUUAGUUGCCUUAGUAACAUCUGCCAUGAAC